UAGCAUUUCUGUCACCUAUCACUGUUUAUUUUCCUUAACUAUUGUGAAUUGACACCACUACGCCCUCGGUAUUCUGGGCUAAUGAUCCGUCUAAAUAAAGCGAUGUUUGAGUUAAAGUCAGUAGAACUGUGUUAUCAUAAUAUCUGAUCAUAUUUUGUUUUACUGUCAUUUUUGACGAUACUUUUGAAUACUUCUAAAAAUGCCCCGGGAACCGACGGAAUCGCUGUGUAUUAUUAUCAUAUGGCAUAAUAUAACUAAUGCAUAUGCACGCAGAAUUGAAUGCUUAUUCGAAUUUGGAUUAUUUGUAAUAGAAAAAAAAAAAAAAAACACUAUCAAUGUUGAUUAGGUUAUUUCGUGAAUCCUAGAAGGGUUCUUGAGUUUAUUGUUCUCCAAAACUUUGGUAAAAUGUAUU